rnacentral:rRNA from 1 species
UACGUAGGGGGCUAGCGUUGUCCGGAAUCAUUGGGCGUAAAGAGCGUGUAGGCGGUCCGGUAAGUCCGCUGUGAAAGUCGGGGGCUCAACCCUCGAAUGCCGGUGGAUACUGUCGGGCUAGAGUGCGGAAGAGGCGAGUGGAAUUCCUGGUGUAGCGGUGAAAUGCGUAGAUAUCAGGAGGAACACCGGUGGCGAAGGCGGCCCUCUGGACGGUGACUGACGCUGAGACGCGAAAGCGUGGGGAGCAAACAGG